ACUUGUUUCUCCCAUGGUGCAUCGGCUCUGUUCAUGGUGUCAGUGUAUCGUGAGUGAAUAUUGCCCGCUGAAUUCGGUUGUAGUGGUCGCUCGUACCGUUUGACAUCCAAAAUUUCAGCAGUGAUAUACAUUGGAUUAAUGUAACAAACUCCAGCCAGUGUGUUACCUAUUCGAGUGCUUGGUUACAUAAGAAGGCAGUUAAUUUGAAAGUGACUGAAUAUAACGGAAAUUUAUGUUGUAACCCAUUUCAUGAUUCUGAUGACAAUUUAUGACAGCAUCUCAAUAGUCUGUGUGUUUAUUACCCUUCACAGUGAUACCAUUGUGAUGACAACCAGUAAUAAAUAUGCCAGUUCUCAAGCAAUAACCGCUGGAUGUUCAGUAUCUGAGGAAAGACGUCAAAAAAGUCUUCUCUGGUGAGACAGAUCACCUUGAUGUAAAAGUUUGGCUGCAUAGUCAGGAAAGUACAUUUGGAUGUGGGAGUAAAUCAGACACAUCUCUCCCCUUGAUCCCAACUCCUUGAUGAGGUGGAGGGCUUGAGAAUCCACUGCAGGGAGCAUAUGAACCUUUACGCCUACUCCCUUUCUCCCUUUGCGGUGGAUUCUGUGGAUCAACCAAACAUAAGGACCUAUAACUUUUUACCCCUCCUCCUAUAGAUUUCCCCCUUCACUUCUUCCUCUUUCGUUGACGACCUUUGCAUGGUAUUGAAUCACGAAAGUCACUGCUCAUGUAACUUUGAAGGAGGGUGGAGUUGGACGGCCUGCUGCUCCACCUUUAGAACUAGAGUACACAAUGUGGUCGAGCAAGGGGAAAUUCUUGUGUUAAACAAUGCCCUCAGUGCUGAGUCCGAUCUCGACGGACUGCCGACCCCUAAGGCACUGAUGAUAUGGUGUAUAUCCAGGUGAGGAGGAUCCCAAAGCAAUUUUACAGCCCUUGUUGGGCUUCCCUGGCGAGAGAGUCCUCAUCCUGGACAAAAUUGAUAGUAUUUGUUGAACUGAUUACAUAUAGAAGGCCAAGAAAAACUAAAUACAGACAAAACCCAACCAUGACAUACUUUGACUCUCUCUUUGGAGGUGGAAGUUGGUCAAGGUUUCUUACCAUUGAAACUGACAAAUAAAAAAAAAGCUGUUUUGAAAUGAUAAAAUUUCUUAUUGAGUAGACAUUCAGCCUCAGAAUUGUUAUUCUGACAGAAAAACCAAAAGAAGUUGAUAGAAACCUCAAUAAAAAAUCAGUCAGGAAAAAAAAAAGUGAUAAAAUAAAUGCGGUAUAAACAGUGUUCAGGGUACCAUAGUACUCCCCAAUAAUGAAGAGGAGCCAGUUGAAAAGAAUGUAUUAUUGGAUUCCCUAAUAUACAGGACUAUGAAUUAUAUACAGUGAGCCCCCCGUAUUUGUGGAUUUCUCUCAGGAGCAUUUGCCUUCAUUAUUAGUGGAAAAUGUGCCUAUUUGCAGUAUUUUUCUGAAGUAUCCACAAAUUCCUGGGGUUUUUUUUCUAUCAAUUUCAUCAUAAAAUGCACUUUUUGUGAUGAACUUAAAAAUACCAGGUAUAGAUAUUUUUAGUGGAUUUUUCUUGAGUUUUACCUAACAAAAUAGUUCUAACAUUUUAUAGGAGUUUCAACUAUUCUCGGGUUCUGGCUAUAUGUUGGGGGAGGGGGUCUGGUACCUAUUCCCUGAGAAUACAGGAGGAAAACUGUAAUGUAACCAGUAGAGACAGUAAUAAACAAACACAGAAUUGGAAAAAUAAAAUUUUGAAGGUCAAGAAUUACCCUUAAAAAUUAAAAUUAUGGGCCAAAACUGAGAAAUAAGACUGUAUGUCCCAAAACCACAACAGUACAAAACAGUAGCAAGUAUGGAUAUACAAAGAAUGUUUGCCAAAAUACAUGUGGCAAAGAACCAAGACACAAAUGCAAAUGCUGUUGUGAAUCAUUUUUUUUUUUCAUAUUGAUUUGGAUAUUAAGGGAAAUGUAAGCACAAGAAAAUAGUGAGUACAUUUGCUACAGAAAUAACAGAAGAAAGUUGUAAUGAACAGGAGGCUAAAGAUGAAAAGGGGUCUUUAGAGAGAACCGAAGACCAAAAAACCAAUAUUAUUACAGAACGUAAGUUAACUAUAAACAAAUGACCCAAAGAAAGAACAUAAACUAAACAAUAAUAAGAAUACAGUAGUGCCUCAGGAUACGAAAUUAAUCUGUUCCAAAGCGGCUUUCGUAACCUGAUUUUUUUCUUAUCUCGAACCGCGUUUUACAUGUAAAUUGCAUAGUUCGUUCCAAGCCCUGCAGAAACACCACAGUAAAUUUUAUAAUAAAGCUAAAUUGACCA